rnacentral:rRNA from 1 species
UACGUAGGGCGCAAGCGUUGUCCGGAAUUAUUGGGCGUAAAGAGCUCGUAGGCGGUUUGUCGCGUCGAAUGUGAAAUCCCGGGGCUCAACCCCGGGCCUGCAUUCGAUACGGGCAGACUAGAGUUCGGUAGGGGAGUCUGGAAUUCCUGGUGUAGCGGUGAAAUGCGCAGAUAUCAGGAGGAAUACCGGUGGCGAAGGCGGGACUCUGGGCCGACACUGACGCUGAGGAGCGAAAGCGUGGGGAGCAAACAGG